rfam:Candidatus Magasanikbacteria bacterium RIFCSPHIGHO2_02_FTLL_50_9b rifcsphigho2_02_scaffold_7495, whole genome shotgun sequence.
GGCGCUAUCGUCUAUCGGUUAGGACAUCAGAUUCUCAAUCUGAGAAGACGGGUUCGAUUCCCGUUAGCGCUA